rnacentral:lncRNA from 1 species
CGCUGCUUGCUCGGGGUGAUGCAGUGUACAGUACCUUACAAUUUAAGCUAAAAUGUGUAGAGAGAAAGAGGGAUGCAGUUUUGUAAUGGAGUAAUCUACCAUUUAACACUGCUAAUAACUAAGAAGCAAUUGUUAGAAAAUAAAGUUUAGAAGGAAAAUACAUAAUAGGUUAAUAGAACAUAAUUGCAAAUAUCGUAUUGACGAUGGUGAGUAUACAACUAACCACCUAAUAAUUCCUUGAUGAUGAUUUAUACUUUUCUUAACCAAAUUUUGCAGUGUUUAUUUGAUGCAGCUCUCAAGGAACUAGUUCAACUCAAUGUCCAUUAUUUUCAACGGUCUUAUCCUAGAUCGUUCUUUUAGCGCACACAAAGCAGUGACACCUGCCCUGCUUCACCACGCUGCCUGCUAUUACAUAUAAAACUUGUGAAUCAUCACAGUCCUCAUAGAAAUUAGUCGGUGCUUUUAACAUUUCAAUUACCAUUAUGAACAGACUGCUAGUGCAAUAAAAUCUUAAUAGAACAGAAGGUGUCCCAACAAAUGUUAAUAAGGUGAAUUGUACAGCAAAUGAGUCUGUUCUCUCCCAUAACAGGGAAGCAUUUCCCGAUUUCGGCAGCAAAUAGAUCUAGAACUGAAGCCUGUGGAAACAGGAC